rnacentral:piRNA from 1 species
UAAGCUUGCUUUCAGGUGGCUUAGCUUGGA